CACGUUAUGGUGGGCGACUCUAAGGAGACUGCCGGUGACAAACCGGAGGAAGGUGGGGAUGACGUCAAGUCAUCAUGGCCCUUACGGCCUGGGCUACACACGUGCUACAAUGGUCGGUACAAAGGGUUGCCAAGCCGCGAGGUGGAGCUAAUCCCAUAAAACCGAUCGUAGUCCGGAUCGCAGUCUGCAACUCGACUGCGUGAAGUCGGAAUCGCUAGUAAUCGUGAAUCAGAAUGUCACGGUGAAUACGUUCCCGGGCCUU
rnacentral:rRNA from 1 species